rnacentral:misc_RNA from 1 species
GACUGAAAUGGAUGGCAUGAAUGCUAAGAAGACUGUCUUCAUUAUCGGGGCGACGAAUAGGCCAGAUAUCAUAGACUCCGCACUUCUCAGGCCAGGCCGUCUGGAUCAGUUGAUCUAUAUUCCUCUGCCAGAUGAUGCUUCUCGGCUCCAGAUCUUCAAGGCUUGCCUAAGAAAGUCGCCAGUGGCGAAAGAUGUCGACCUGGCAGCUCUUGCCAAGUAUACUCAGGGAUUCAGUGGUGCAGAUAUUACUGAAAUCUGUCAACGAGCAUGCAAGUAUGCGAUAAGGGAAAACAUUGAGAAGGAUAUCGAAAAAGAGAGGAGGAAGGCCGCCAAUCCCGAAGCAAUGGAAGAAGAUGACGAUGAUGAGGUGGCGGAGAUAAAGGCUGCCCAUUUCGAGGAGUCGAUGAAAUAUGCUCGAAGGAGUGUCAGCGAUGCUGACAUUCGUAAGUACCAGGCUUUCGCUCAGACCCUACAGCAGUCGAGGGGGUUUGGUUCGGAAUUCCGCUUCGCUGACCGGCCGGAAACUAGGGCUGCAGACCCCUUUGCAGCUCCGUCUGCAGCAGCCGUAGAUGAGGAUGAUUUAUACAAUUAGUGUUUUUUUAGUGACUUCGUCAGACUAUUUGGGAUAAUUUAAGGGUCUUUGUGAAGUUUAUUU